UCAAAAAUAUUUUUUUUUUACUAACUUUGACUCUGAUUCCUAGAUUUCCGAGGUUAAAACCUAGCUAACCUUAUUAUAAAAAAUAGAGUAAGAGAAGAAAAAAAAAAGAAAUUAGAACCUUGGAAACCUUGGAGCAGCAGUACUCCACGUUAUUCUUUUUUCUCAUCCUCUUUCUUCUACCUUUUGUUCAACAAAAGACUUACACUAAAAUUGCAAAAAGAUUAUCAACCAUCACCACACAUCAAUCGUCACUCAUCCGGCUUUAAUAGUUCUUGUUUUUCUUGGUGGUUUCUCAAAGGGGAAACUUUUGGGUUAUUUGGACUUGCGGUUUCGGGUCGAGAAUCGGGUCAAGAGGUCGAGAUUGUUGGGUCCUUUAGAGUGUAAUUUCACCUCAUUACUUCCCUUUAAGCAAAUUGCGGGUUCGUAGAGGAACCUUUUUGACUUGAGAUUGAGGUACAUUGACUGUGUUUGCUACUAAGGGACUUGAAGAUAGUUAGCUCCAGUUGGGUUAAAGAGUGCGUUGGAUCCCUUUUGAUUUAAUAGGACUUUAAAAGACUUCCGCUGUUUUUUAUUUAUU